rnacentral:lncRNA from 1 species
GGGCUUGCUGAGCUUGUUUUGGAUUCUUUUGGAAAUUUUGUGUUGGGCUUAUUUUAAGUUAAUUAAUGGCAGAGAUGUAAUUUAUAGGAACUUCAAUACUAAUUUUAUAUGUAGUAAAUGGUUUUUGGGUGUGUUUCUAAAGUGCAUUCUAUGUAGGGUUUUUUUAUAAUUACAGCCCCUAUUUUGGGUAUAUUACUAAAGCUCCCUUUUUUUUUUCAUAGGAUUUUAUAAGCAAAGUUCCUUACCUUUGUCGUUUAUCAGACAAUAAGUGGUGGGUUUGUUGGGCUUGGGUAUGGAUUUGGCAAUAAAAUAAAAACUCAUUAAUAAAAAACUCCUACGUUUUUAUUUCCGAUUCAUGACUUUUUUCAUUCCUAAUAAGUGCCUACUUUUUCUUUUCUAAAUUUUGUUGAGAGGGCAAAGCUAGGUUUUAAAAGUUGUAGAAUCAUU